rnacentral:lncRNA from 1 species
CACUUCUGCCCCCUUCCCCCAAAGCAUGCACUGUGCAGUGUCCCCAUCUCCUGCUCAUCAAAACUCAUGACCUUUAUUCAUACCAUGGUGCUUCAGAAAUGCCAUUCACCUCCCUGCCCAACUGUGCAGCUCCCUCUGGGUGAAAUAUUGACUUCAAUGGCCUCAUCUUCUUUACAUUCUCCAAAGUUUGUCAUCUUUGUUAAAUAAUGAAUGCAGCUUCUUGAUGUUUCUCUCCUUAAUGAUUGCAAGAGAGAAUGAUGCUGUUAUUUCCCAAUUGAUGCUGCCAGGGAGACAAUUGGAGCUAGGAGUGGACCCAGAAGCAGCCUGCUGGAGGAAGCUGCAAAUGUGAUCAUCAUGAGGCUGGAGAUGCUGAAGAUCGGUGAACAUUCCCAGUGACUCUGGCUCAAUCUGGGACCCUGGCCAGAGCUACUGGUCACCAACACUAUGCAGGGUUUGGGGCUUCAGUGCCUCCCAAGAUGGAUCUGCAGGUUCUUGACAGAAAUGGAGAGGCUGGGGUUCCAACAGGGCAAAGAGGAGACAAAACAGGUGGAGAGAGACGCCCGGGCCUGUCAACCACAAAGUAAAGAGGCUGGAACCGCACAGCUCCUGCCCGAGGGCCUUGGCAGGAUCUGUGUCCCCCACGGCCCACUGGGCAUGGACUCUGGGGAGGGGCAGAGGGGUUGGCUCCUCGCUCAGGCUCUGCUUCCCUGGCCUUCACCCACGUGAGCCACCUUCUGUUGGCCCUGGGACACUCCCUCUCACCACAGUGGCCUACUUCUGAGCCCACAUCAAGUAACUUGCGCAAAUAAAAGGAACAUUCUCAAGCUUGGGAAUUUAUUUCUGUGAAUACAGACUGAAGACUGUUAAGUCACAUUCAGGCAUUGGAUGCAUCCGAUGAGAGAAAGAGAAUGUGUGUAAAUUACUGGAAAUGUGAUCCACUGACCACAGAAAUCAGGACGGAACCAGAACACCCACAUACGGCAGAGCUCCUGGGGAGACUGAGGUCCAGGGUGGGAGAGGGGCCACGUGCAAUGUAACAGGAAGGUGAGGUUGAAUGACCAGCCACUUUCCAGGCAGUGAGAGAGUCCGUGUCAGAUGGGCAGUGCCCCUCCCACAUGUUCCAUUGGGGGCGGAGGCCUCUGCAUCUCCCCACAUGGCUGGGACAUCUCUGUUGAGCAGUAAUAUCCUGGCCCCAACACAUUCCCUGCGUCCUUAGCAAACCUGCUUCUUGGGGGUGUGAAUGUGCGUGUCUGGAGAGUGAUACUGACUUUUGGAAACAGCACAAAGUAAUUUAGGGCUGUGGUGAUGCAGUUAGACAAUAUCAUUUUGGAGGUGAAAUUGAUGUGUUUGUUUACUAAUGAGGUGGUGUCCUGCAGAGGAGCAGUUCUAAUACAGUCAGGGUUAUGGAGCUGGGGUGCAGGAGGUCAAGGUAAUGGUGGUGGAGAAGCAGCUGUGAAAGAAAGACACUCCCAGGAAGGAGCUGGAGCAGAGCACCAGGCCUGGCCCUCUGUGCUCAGUGCUUUCUGCAGGGGAUUGUGAGCCUGGAAGUGGGAAGAGGGGAGGCCCUUGCCAGGCUCCUAUGCCUCCUAAAGUCUGUGUUUACACUGGUGGGCUAGCCCCUUACUCCUGUACCAGGCCCAGCACCAAGCUGCAAACCCAGGCCAGGAGGAACAGGCCAGGGAUGGCUUCCUGGCUUGACCACAUAUCUGGGCUUUUCAUCUUGAGAUUAGUACCCAGAGAGGACUCACUGGAGUUCACAGCAUGCAGAUUAGGAGGCUGCCCUCUGACACCCUGGCCCUGACCUCUGCCCCUGCAUCCAUCUCUUGAAUCCAUUUAGAAUCCACACUUUGUUUUACAUAACUUGCUGCUCCCAACUUCAUACUCCACACAGGAUCGGUGGUG